AUUGAACGCUGGCGGCAGGCCUAACACAUGCAAGUCGAGCGGAUGAAGGGAGCUUGCUCCUGGAUUCAGCGGCGGACGGGUGAGUAAUGCCUAGGAAUCUGCCUGGUAGUGGGGGAUAACGUCCGGAAACGGGCGCUAAUACCGCAUACGUCCUGAGGGAGAAAGUGGGGGAGCUUCGGACCUCACGCUAUCAGAUGAGCCUAGGUCGGAUUAGCUAGUUGGUGGGGUAAAGGCCUACCAAGGCGACGAUCCGUAACUGGUCUGAGAGGAUGAUCAGUCACCCUGGAACUGAGACACGGUCCAGACUCCUACGGGAGGCAGCAGUGGGGAAUAUUGGACAGUGGGCGAAAGCCUGAUCCAGCCAUGCCGCGUGUGUGAAGAAGGUCUUCGGAUUGUAAAGCACUUUAAGUUGGGAGGAAGGGCAGUAAGUUAAUACCUUGCUGUUUUGACGUUACCAACAGAAUAAGCACCGGCUAACUUCGUG
rnacentral:rRNA from 1 species